rnacentral:lncRNA from 1 species
CCAGGGCGCGGAGCUGCCCGUAUCGCCUUCCUGCUCAUCUAUCAUUUACACCCUGCCCCCCCGGCCUGCCAGCACGGCGAAACGGCACCCGCAGGGCUUGGGAGAAGGGGCUGGGGCAAAACUUGACGCUCCCCGGCCUGAAGUUUCUUUGCAAGAGGCGGGGGGGGGCGUGCAGGGGUCCCUCUCCAACCGGACCCUGCGCCCCCGGGGAGCUGAGCGCGGUCCCCAGCCCCUGCGGGUGCCGAGCAGGGGUUUUGGGGCAGGCUGCUGGGGGUGGGGGGACCUGAACCCCCCCUUACCUGGGCGAGGGGCGCUGCGCCAGCCUCCGCUGCGCCGCUCGGGCUCCUGCCCACCCCUUCCUCCUCCUCCUCCUCUUCCUCCUCCUCCUGCUGCCGCUGCCUGGGCUCGCUCGGCGGCGCGGCUGGCGGCCGGGGGGGGGCUCAGGGCUGGCUCUGGGACCGGCCCCCGCCACAGGUGAUGUCCCCAAGGGCAGCGCCCCGCCACAGGAACCAUGAGGCGUCCCGCUGCUGCCAGCAACCUUCUGCUGUGCCUCCUGGCCCUGGAGCUGGUCCCUUUGGGCUGGGGCAACCGGCUGCCCUACUUCAUAAACUACUUCUUCGACACCUACCUGCUGAUCAACGAGGACACCCCUGUGGUGUGCUCUCUGCCCCCGAUUGCCAGCAUCCUCAGCAAAUACACUUAGUGCUGAAUUUGCCCCAGAGGAAGUCCCUGGGAAGAAAGCAGCUGUGCAGAUGUAGGGGAGAGAGAGCGAGCUGGAAACAGCUUAAUGGAAACGCUUCCUGACCAAGCACACAGCUCUCGAAGUACUUGAGCUUGAAAUACCUUAUGGGAAUUGGACUGAACUUCUAUUUUGGUGGAAAAUGGGGAAAGGUUUCUGACAGUCUACUUCUCCGUUGAGAUAUUGUGUGAAUAAAAUCGUUCCUGGAAUUAGUUUGGGGCUUGAU